UACGUAGGGGGCAAGCGUUGUCCGGAUUCAUCGGGCGUAAAGAGCGUGUAGGCGGCCAGGUAGGUCGGUUGUGAAAACUGGAGGCUCAACCUUCAGACGUCGACCGAAACCAUCUGGCUAGAGUCCGGGAGAGGAGAGUGGAAUUCCUGGUGUAGCGGUGAAAUGCGCAGAUAUCAGGAAGAACACCCGUGGCGAAAGCGGCUCUCUGGAACGGUACUGACGCUGAGACGCGAAAGCGUGGGGAGCGAACAGG
rnacentral:rRNA from 1 species